CCUACGGGUGGCAGCAGUGGGGAAUAUUGCACAAUGGGCGAAAGCCUGAUGCAGCAACGCCGCGUGAAGGAAGAAGGCCUUCGGGUCGUAAACUUCUGUCCUUGGGGAAGAAGAACUGACGGUACCCAAGGAGGAAGCCCCGGCUAACUACGUGCCAGCAGCCGCGGUAAUACGGAGGGGGCGAGCUUUAAUCGGAAUUACGGGGCGGAAAGCGCUCGUAGGCGGUAGGUCAAGUCAAGGGUGAAAUCCCCGCGCUCAACGUGGGAACUGCCUUUGAAACUGGCAAACUGGAGUGUGUGAGAGGAUAGUGGAAUUCCAGGUGUAGGAGUGAAAUCCGUAGAUAUCUGGAGGAACAUCAGUGGCGAAGGCGACUAUCUGGCACAUAACUGACGCUGAGGAGCGAAAGCGUGGGUAGCAAACAGGAUUAGAUACCCGGGUAGUC
rnacentral:rRNA from 1 species